GACGAACGCUGGCGGCGUGCUUAACACAUGCAAGUCGAACGGAAAGGCCCUGCUUUUGUGGGGUGCUCGAGUGGCGAACGGGUGAGUAACACGUGAGUAACCUGCCCUUGACUUUGGGAUAACUUCAGGAAACUGGGGCUAAUACCGGAUAGGAGCUCCUGCUGCAUGGUGGGGGUUGGAAAGUUUCGGCGGUUGGGGAUGGACUCGCGGCUUAUCAGCUUGUUGGUGGGGCAGUGGCUUACCAAGGCUUUGGCGGGUAGCCGGCCUGAGAGGGUGACCGGCCACAUUGGGACUGAGAUACGGCCCAGACUCCUACGGGAGGCAGCAGUGGGGAAUAUUGCACAAUGGGCGGAAGCCUGAUGCAGCAACGCCGCGUGCGGGAUGACGGCCUUCGGGUUGUAAACCGCUUUCGCCUGUGACGAAGCGUGAGUGACGGUAAUGGGUAAAGAAGCACCGGCUAACUACGUG
rnacentral:rRNA from 1 species